GAACGCACAUUGCGCCCGCCAGCAUUCUGGCGGGCAUGCCUGUUCGAGCGUCAUUUCAACCCUCAAGCCCAGCUUGGUGUUGGGGCCCUACGGUCGACGUAGGCCCUUAAAGGUAGUGGCGGACCCUCCCGGAGCCUCCUUUGCGUAGUAACUUAACGUCUCGCACUGGGAUCCGGAGGGACUCUUGCCGUAAAACCCCCAAAACUUUUACAGGUUGACCUCGGAUCAGGUAGGAAUACCCGCUGAACUUAAG
rnacentral:misc_RNA from 1 species